GACGAACGCUGGCGGCGUGCUUAACACAUGCAAGUCGAGCGGUAAGGCCCUUUCGGGGGUACACGAGCGGCGAACGGGUGAGUAACACGUGGGUGACCUGCCUUUAGUCUCUGGGAUAAGCCUGGGAAACCGGGUCUAAUACCGGAUAUGACUCCGCGGCGCAUGUUGUGGGGUGGAAAGCCUUGUGCGGCUGGAGAUGGGCCCGCGGCCUAUCAGCUUGUUGGUGGGGUGAUGGCCUACCAAGGCGACGACGGGUAGCCGGCCUGAGAGGGCGACCGGCCACACUGGGACUGAGACACGGCCCAGACUCCUACGGGAGGCAGCAGUGGGGAAUCUUGCGCAAUGGGCGAAAGCCUGACGCAGCGACGCCGCGUGAGGGAUGACGG
rnacentral:rRNA from 1 species